GCUUUAUACAUGCAAGUCAAGGAGAACCUAUUCUUCGGAAUAGUAGUAAACUGGCGAACGGGUGAGUAACACGUAGGUAACCUGCCCUAGAGAUUGGGACAACUUCGGGAAACCGGAGCUAAUACCGAAUGAUGCAGCGGACCCCUUGGGGUACAGUUGUUAAAGCGGGCUUCGGCUCGCGCUUUAGGAUGGGCCUGCGUCCGAUUAGCUUGUUGGUGGGGUAAUAGCCUACCAAGGCAAUGAUCGGUAGCUGGUCUGAGAGGAUGAUCAGCCACACUGGGAUUGAGAUACGGCCCAGACCUCUACGGGGGGCAGCAGUAGGGAAUUUUGCGCAAUGGGCGAAAGCCUGACGCAGCAACGCCGCGUGAUCGAUGAAGCUUCUAGGAGCGUAAAGAUCUGUCGUUAGGGAAGAAAAAUUCGGAGGUAAAUAAUUUUCGUUUUUGACGGUACCUUACAAGAAAGCACCGGCUAACUUCGUGCCAGCAGCCGCGGUAAUACGAGGGGUGCUAGCGUUGUCCGGAAUCAUUGGGCGUAAAGGGUCCGUANGCGGUUUAACAAGUCAAUUGUUAAAGACAUCGGCUUUACCGAUGGAAUGCAGUUGAAACUGUUAG
rnacentral:rRNA from 1 species